rnacentral:pre_miRNA from 1 species
CAGAUACUCCCUCCGUUCGGAAUUACUUGUCUCGGAAAUGGAUGUAUCUAGAACUAAAAUACAUCUAGAUACAUCCAUUUCUACGACAAGUAAUUCCGAACGGAGGGAGUAUAUA